GAUGAACGCUGGCGGCGUGCCUAAUACAUGCAAGUCGAACGCAUAGCGAAAGGUGCUUGCACCUUUCACGUGAGUGGCGAACGGGUGAGUAACACGUGGACAACCUGCCUCAAGGCUGGGGAUAACAUUUGGAAACAGAUGCUAAUACCGAAUAAAACUUAGUGUCGCAUGACACAAAGUUAAAAGGCGCUUCGGCGUCACCUAGAGAUGGAUCCGCGGUGCAUUAGUUAGUUGGUGGGGUAAAGGCCUACCAAGACAAUGAUGCAUAGCCGAGUUGAGAGACUGAUCGGCCACAUUGGGACUGAGACACGGCCCAAACUCCUACGGGAGGCUGCAGUAGGGAAUCUUCCACAAUGGGCGAAAGCCUGAUGGAGCAACGCCGCGUGUGUGAUGAAGGCUUUCGGGUCGUAAAGCACUGUUGUAUGGGAAGAACAGCUAGAAUAGGAAAUGAUUUUAGUUUGACGGUACCAUACCAGAAAGGGACGGCUAAAUACG
rnacentral:rRNA from 1 species